UACAGAGGUCCCAAGCGUUGUUCGGAUUCAUUGGGCGUAAAGGGUGCGUAGGUGGCGUCGUAAGUCGGGGUGUGAAAUCUCGGGGGCUUAACUCCGAAACUGCAUUCGAUACUGCGGUGCUUGAGGACUGGAGAGGAGACUGGAAUUUUACGGUGUAGCAGUGAAAUGCGUAGAGAUCGUAAGGAAGACCAGUGGCGAAGGCGGGUCUCUGGAAAGUUCCCUGAACACUGAGGCA
rnacentral:rRNA from 1 species